CGGUGCUCCUGGCCGGACAGGCGACGGACUUGCGCUAUGGCCGCGAGGCUGAACUGGAAGCGGAUGCGCGGGGCCAGACCCUGCUGGUCGGCGCCGG
rnacentral:tRNA from 1 species